rnacentral:lncRNA from 1 species
AGUACAGGCUUUGGUCCACAGAGACAACAAUACUUUCAAUACUCUUUUGUUCUGCCCCAGAGGAGCUCAACACAGAAUUGCCUAGAACAAGAAACUGGUGAGAGAAGCUGCAGCCUGUUGAGACUCCACAAGACUGAAGAUAUGAAAAGAGGAAAUAUGCAUGAAUGCCCGCACGGAGAACCACCCCCACCUGCUGCUCCCGCUCUAAUGAUCACGCCCAUUAUCAACUGGGGGAUGGCUCUGUGCCUUGUCCUUGCAUUACAUGGACCAAGAACACUUCACAGGACUCAGAGAGGAACCCGAAAGGAAGAAGCUAUACGACUGGGGACACAUGUCUUAGAAGCACACUCAUUAGAUAAAGUGUCGCAUACUCUUUGAUAAGUGACUCAGAACACCCGUGUCCUUCCCAACAUUGGAUGCAAUGCUAAAGACAUGAUGUUGCUCCUGCUGGACCACACCUUGAAGGAAUUGCCUACCCCACCUCACCUCCAAAAUUAAAGUCUUUCGUUUUGACAAAAGUUAAUGAUAAGGUUUGAUGUGCUAAUUUCAGCACCUCCACUUCAUGUCUACACUGUGGACAUAUACUUUUUUGUUGUUUUGGGGUUUUUGUCAUGUUUCACUCACUUUCUCUAUUAUUCUUUAUAGCAGGACUUGCUUUAGAGUCAUUACUUUCUGUUAAAGUUGUUCCUUCAAAAGUUGACAAUUACUGGCUGGGCACGGUGGCUCACGCCUGUAAUCCCAGCACUUUGGGAGGCUGAGGCGGGUGGAUCACCUGAGAUUGGGAGUUCGAGACCAGCCUGACCAACACGGAGAAACCCCGUCUCCAUUAAAAAUACAAAAUUAGCCAGGCGUGGUGGUGCAUGCCUGUAAUCCCAGCUACUCGGGAGGCUGAGGCAGGAGAAUCGCUUGAACCCGGGAGGCAGAGGUUGCAGUGAGCCAAGAUCACGCCACUGCACUCCAGCCUGGGCAACAAAGAGUGAAACUGUCUAAAAAAAAAAAGCUGACAAUUACUUUUCAUUGGCUUCUUCACACCUAACACCUAUCUUUUCACACAAGGCAGAAAUAAAUUGCUAUUAGCUAAUCUGCUAAAUCCACUUAGAAAUAUAAUCAAGAAAAAGGAAAACAUCCUUGUGUCCAAGGCAUUCUG